rnacentral:rRNA from 1 species
GAUGAACGCUAGCUGGAGGCUUAAUACAUGCAAGUCGAGCGGGAUUGGGUAGCAAUACCCAUGAGAGCGGCGCACGGGUGAGUAACGCGUACACGACCUACCUCUGACAGGGGGAUAGCCCUGGGAAACUGGGAUUAAUACCGCAUAUUAUUCUGAAUAAUAAAGGUUUGGAAUGAAAGCUGAGGCGGUCAGAGAUGGGUGUGCGUCUGAUUAGCUAGUUGGUAGGGUAACGGCCUACCAAGGCGAUGAUCAGUAGGGGGCGUGAGAGCGUGGUCCCCCACACGGGUACUGAGACACGGACCCGACUCCUACGGGAGCAGCAGUAAGGAAUAUGGUCAAUGGGCGAAAGCCUGAACCAGCCAUCCAGCGUGCAGGAAGAAGGCCCUAUGGGUUGUAAACUGCUUUUAUCAGGGAAGAAACCUCUGGAUUUACUCCGGAGCUGACGGUACCUGAAGAAUAAGCACGGCUAACUCCGUGCCAGCAGCCGCGGU